rnacentral:rRNA from 1 species
AUAAACGCUGGCGGCGUGCCUUAGGCAUGCAAGUCGAACGGGAGUAGCAAUACUCCAGUGGCAGACGGGUGAGUAACGCGUAGGAAUCUACCUCUGGGUAGGGCAUAGCCGGCCGAGAGGUCGGGUAAUUCCCUAUAGUUCCCGCAAGGGUAAAGGACUUAACGGUCCGCCGAGAGAGGAGCCUGCGUCCCAUCAGCUAGUUGGUAAGGUAAAAGCUUACCAAGGCGAUGACGGGUAGCUGGACUGAGAGGUCGAUCAGCCACAAUUGCACUUAGACACGGGCAAUACAUCUACGGAUGGCAGCAACCAGGAAUAUUGCGCAAUGGACGAAAGUCUGACGCAGCGACGCCGCGUGGAGGAUGAAGGCCUUCGGGUUGUAAACUCCUUUUGCCAAGCCUUUCACAGCUUGGAGAAUAAGCCUCUACUAACUACGUGCCAGAAGUCUCGGUAAUACGUAGGAGGCAAGCGUUAUCCGGAUUCAUUGGGCGUAAAGUGUGCGUAGGCGUUCCGUAAAGUCGAUACUUAAAGACCAAGGCUUACCCUUGGGAGUGGUGUCGAUACUCACGGAAUUGAGGAUUGAUCGGGAAGCUGGAACAGUUAGUGUAGCAGUGAAAUGCGUUGAUAUUAACUGGAACACCAAGGGCGAAGGCAGGCUUCUGGGUUUUUCCUGACGCUGAGGCACGAAAGCUAGGGUAGCGAAACAGAUUAGAUACCUGUGUAGUCCUAGCCGUAAACGAUGUCCGCUAACUUUUGCAGACCUAGUCUGCAGAGGUUCAAGCUAACGCAUUAAGCGGACCGCCUGGGGAGUACGACCGCAAGGUUAAAACUCAAAGGAAUUGACGGGGACCCGCACAACUGGUGGAGCGUGUGGUUUAAUUCGAGACGAAGCGAAAAACCUUACCAGGGUUUGACAUGAUACCGUUUUAUGCCUAUGGAAACACUGGCAGAUCCGCAAGGAUGGUACCACAGGUGCUGCAUGGCUGUCGUCAGCUCGUGUCGUGAGAUGUUCCCUUAAGUGGGGGAAACGAGCGCAACCCCCGUGAAAUGUUACAUAUUCAUUUCAGACGGUCCCGAUCAUAUCGGGAAGGAAGGAGGGGAAGACGUCAAGUCAGCAUGGUCCUUACACCCUGGGUUACACACACCCUACAAUGGCGAAGAACAAUGGGCUGCAAGCUAGUAAUAGCAAGCUAAUCUCAGAAAUUUCGCCUCAGUUCAGAUUGGGGGCUGCAACCCGCCCCCAUGAAGUCGGAAUCAGUAGUAAUCGCGGAUCAGAAGGCCGCGGUGAAUACGUUCUCGGGUCUUGUACACACCGCCCGUCAAGGCAGCAAAGUUGGGAGCGGAUGAAGGCUAUCGAAAGAUGGACGAGUCCGAGCUUAGCGAUGAAGCUU